rnacentral:rRNA from 1 species
UACGUAGGGUGCGAGCGUUGUCCGGAAUUAUUGGGCGUAAAGAGCUCGUAGGCGGUGUGUCACGUCGAUCGUGAAAACUUACAGCUUAACUGUGAGCGUGCGGUCGAUACGGGCAUCACUGGAGUUCGGCAGGGGAGACUGGAAUUCCUGGUGUAGCGGUGAAAUGCGCAGAUAUCAGGAGGAACACCGGUGGCGAAGGCGGGUCUCUGGGCCGAUACUGACGCUGAGGAGCGAAAGCAUGGGGAGCGAACAGG